AGGAGCGUCGUCUAAUGGCAAGACAGCAGUCUCCAAAACUGCUAACGUGGGUUCGAUUCCUACCGCUCCUGCCA
rnacentral:tRNA from 1 species